rnacentral:lncRNA from 1 species
AAAUUUUCAAAAUUUUUAAAUGCAUACAAGUAUUUUUAAACCAAUUAAAACAAAGGAGAAAAGAAAAAAUUUAAGAAAAAUAGAAAAUCAAGAAAAUAAAAUAUGAAAAAAUAAAAAUCAUAUGAAGAAAAAUAAAAGAAAAUUUUAAAAAUUAUUUUGUUUUUUUUUGGAUGAGAAAUGAAUUUUCUAUGAAUUUUAAAAGAAAAUGAAAAUGAAAAUAAAAAAGAAAAAGAAAUAAAAAUCAGAAAAAACAAGCAGCGUUGGUUGUGGCCUCAUUAAUUGACGUGGCGGAUCCAACAACUAUCAGGCUAGGGCGUAUGGUGGAAAAUAGCAAGAAUAAAA